AUGUGGGGUAGAAGAAGAAAACUUCGAAGGCUUAAUGAUGUCACCAUUUCUACCUGCCACGUAUCGGCGAAGGUUGGGACUCGACUGGUGUUUUUGAUCACGAUGGGAAAAUCAUCCAGAAAACCCCCUACCCCCACCCCAGAGGGACCACAGUCAGCGUGAAGCAGUUAUUUUCUACGCUACCUGUGCGCCAUAAGGAAUUUCAAAGGAAUAUUAAGAAGAAACGUGCCUGCUUCCCCUUCGCCUUCUGCCGUGAUUGUCAGUUUCUUGAGGGCUCCCCAGCCAUGCUUCCUGUACAGCCUGCAAAACUGACUCCUAGAAGUACCCCACCCCACCCCUGCUCCUUGGAGGACAACGUGAUCACUGUAUUCAGCUCUGUCAAGAAUGGUCCAGGUUCCUCUCCUCCUUCCUGAUGUCUGCCAUUAGCAUUGGAAUAAAGUUCCUGCUGAAAAUCCACAUCUCCCCUGGGUCCGGUGUUCUGGAAGUGAGAGAGACAAUGUCACACUUGAAGGAGGCAGCUCUCUAGACAGGAAGGUUAUUCACGUCCCAUGUCAAGUCUAGCUAGAGUUCAGAGCAAUUGAGAAGUGCAAUUUUAUCUCCUGCCUUUCAUUCUAUACCCUGCUUCUGAACCAUCGUGUUCAACUGUGAAACUCACACUUUGGUGACCCUGACUCCAAAACUUAAUACACCCAAGGUCAGCCCCAGUGAUCUGCUUCAUAGCCAGGACUUUGGGUGGGUCUUCCCAGGGAGUAGGGCACCCUCAGAGAAUGUGGCUUUGGACUUCAUCACAGCUGGGGCCUUUUGUGUCACUUCAGAUCUAAACUUGUAACCGUGCUAGAUCUGUUUCUAACGUGACAACAUCACGAACCACGAGUCCAGAAGCCUAAUCCAUAAUCCUCCCUC
rnacentral:lncRNA from 1 species